AACGAACGCUGGCGGCAUGCCUAACACAUGCAAGUCGAACGAGACCUUCGGGUCUAGUGGCGCACGGGUGCGUAACGCGUGGGAACCUGCCCUUAGGUUCGGAAUAACUCCCCGAAAGGGGUGCUAAUACCGGAUAAUGUCUUCGGACCAAAGAUUUAUCGCCUUUGGAUGGGCCCGCGUUGGAUUAGCUAGUUGGUAGGGUAAAAGCCUACCAAGGCGACGAUCCAUAGCUGGUCUGAGAGGAUGAUCAGCCACACUGGGACUGAGACACGGCCCAGACUCCUACGGGAGGCAGCAGCGGGGAAUAUUGGACAAUGGGCAAAAGCCUGAUCCAGCAAUGCCGCGUGAGUGAUGAAGGCCUUAGGGUUGUAAAGCUCUUUUACCCGGGAUGAUAAUGACAGUACCGGGAGAAUAAGCUCCGGCUAACUCCGUG
rnacentral:rRNA from 1 species